rnacentral:misc_RNA from 1 species
GUUAUGUGGUCCGUCCACGGGGGAGACCACCUUCCGUCCAGUAUCCUGCACAGGAUGGGGGGACAACAAUUUGUGACACCCAGGAAAACGUGCCCUCGGCCAGAAGGCUUGGGGCGCUUUUGCGUUCAAAGACACGGUGGUUCACGGGAUUCUGCGCUUCACAGCAAAUAUCAAAAUUCCCCUCGUUCUUCAACAAUGCGACACCCGAAAUAUCCAUUAACGAAAGUCAUUUUAAACUUUGCUUUGAAUUGCUGAUUCCGAACAACCACCGUCUCCUGGUUGGCGAAUUCAGACCGUUUACUUSUGUGUUACGUGACACUUUUCUGGCCGGGGUUUGGUUAUAUCCCCCMGCUAUGUGCACGAACC